rnacentral:lncRNA from 1 species
GUAACAAUUUCAGUCCCUGUACUUUACUGCAUAAUUGAUUGAGAUGGUUAAAAAAGUGAAACCACAGGGACUGAAAUGGUUACGAAAGUGAAACCACAGGGACUGAAAUCGCAAUUUUUAAACUAAUGGACUGAAAUAGUGAUUUUUGGCAAACCAUAGGGACGAAAACAGUAAUUAACUCAAUAAUAAAAUACAAACUUAUAUUGUUUUUAACAAAAUUACAUAACAUCCGAAAAAUUUUUGAAAAACUACUUAUUAAAUCCUAAAAACUUAAAAAAAAGUUGUUAAUAAUUCUUAAAAAAUUACAAAGUUCUAUAAAUGUUAAAGUGUUAAAUUCCGAAUUCAUGUCGUGCCUCCACUCGAUCUUCGCGAUCUCCAUUCGAUCAUCGUGGCUUAGGUCCCCCACAGGGACACGGUCGAAACAAGCUUUAAACCGAUCCAGCUUCGGUUUUAGGUCACGCCACUUGUGUUAGCAGGCGUUUAAAUUGUGGCGAUUGUUACCAACGUGUUGUUGGUAUUGUUGGAACGUUUGUCCCCAAUACGCGGUUUUGGCCGCGUUGUAACGUACGUUGUGCAUCGACGAUCGAAGUAACUAGCGCGAUCUCCUCUUCUUCCAUCCAGUACACCAUUUUCGGUUUUGUUGUUUAGUUGAAAAAAAAAAUGAAAGUUUGGUGUGAGAUAGGUUGAAGAAGUUUUGUAAAAAUUUGUAGGUGGGGGGGGGUAUUUAUAGGUAAAAAUUUGUAAGGUUUUUUUUUUAAAUUGAUUUUUACCAUUAAAACCGCCAUGCCCAACGGCUAUGGCUAACGACUAUGGCAAACGGUCCAAAAUUGAACAUCUAAUCCUAGCUAGCCAGCUCACCCCGUCCCACGCCUGGCUUCAAAGCGACGCUGGCUGGGCAACGCAAAGCCAACGCUGGCCUGGAGUGGGUUAGCCAGCGUUGUCUGGCUUCCCCCGCCCCAUAAACACCCCCACUCCCCACAGCCUUAACCUUAUUACCAUUUAAAUUAAACUAGAGUCGUAGUUACCCGCGCGUUGCGUAGGGACGCGGUUAGAAUUCGGAACGUAUUGCACACCAUGACAAUCGAUAAAUAAAUUUAUAAAAUUAAUUAAAAUGAUAUAUUAAUGGGUUAUGCUAUUUACGCCGUAACUCGACUCUGAACAUCAAAAUAAUAACAAAAGGUAAAACGUUAUAGUAAAUAACAAAGGUAAAAUUAAGGUAAACGAAAAAAAAAGAUAGAAACUUGGUCGAUUUUGACGCGCUCGUUAUAGCAAAGAAAAAAGUUAAAAAUUAUGUUCAAAAGAGCAUCGGCGUGUUCUUUAAAAAAUAUUAAAAUAAAAAAAUCUUUGCCACACUCGUUAUAGCAAAGCAAAAGAAAAAUAAAAAAAAUAUGUAUAAAACAGUAUUAACGUGUUGGUUAAAAAAAUUAUUUAGGGGUAGAAAAAUAAUUUGGUUAAAGUAAAAGAAAAAAAACAAUAGUUAAACUACAUGGGUUGUAAAUGAAAAAGUUUACACUAGAUUACAAAAUAGAAUAAAUGACAAAAAAAUUGAUGAAGUUGUAAAACAUGUAUUAGACCACCCGUAAUCGUUCAAUUUGUGGUUACGCCAAAAACGCCCAAACAACGCCCCUCGUCGGCCACUGUGGGCGUUAUUUUGAAUUUUUUUUUGUGUUUGGCGUUGGAUUUACAACGCUCUUGCCCGUUUGAAAGUUUGAUUCGGUCGAGAUUUUUGACCGUUUGACAAAUACUUUAAAUAUAUUUUUGAGAAAAAUGCCCGGAUAGUCCCUGUGGUUUCGCCUUUUUUCACCUAUAGUCCCCAACUUUCUAAAAUUACCUGAAUAGUCCCCAAGUUUUCAAUUUUUGUUCCCGGAUAGUCCCUAACACGGAUGGAGGUUAGUUUUUACAGUUAAGUGAGUGUGAAAUAACUAUAAUGCCCUUAAGUAAAACAAAAUGAAUUAAUUCAGUAUUUUUCUUAAAAGAUAAAAACCAAACUCAUCCACCCACCCCUAUCCCCACAUAAGUCUGUCUUCAUCUUCAUCAAACCUUCAGGCCCCCCCUCUCUCUCUCUCUCUAAACCACCACCACCUUCAUCUCCACCACCACCAUAAAACCCCACCUCUAUCACCAACCCAUUGCCCUCGUCGCCUUUCACCGCCAUAGCACUCAGCCACCACUGCCACAACCACCCCCGCCACAACCACCACAGCGGCCGCCAUCAUCACCACUGUUUUUAGAGAAGAAAAGAUCCGACCAGAGUGGGAGUAGAUUGAUAAGAAAGAGAAAGAAACAAGUGGCGGCUGAAAAGUUGUUAGAAAUUCAUUAGGGUUUGUUUAUUAAUUUAUGUUGUGGACUCAUAAGAUAGAAAGAUGAAUUUAAAUUUAUUAUUGCUUUGGGUGUUUGUUAAAUCUAGUUCAAAAUAGCUGGAAUACCCCACAUGGCAAGACAUAAAUUUCCCCUUUUCAUCCCACAUUCCACUUCUUCACUCAACAAAUUAUCUCAAUCGAAUUUGCAAAUCUUUAUUUAAAUCAAAAUUCAAUUUUUUAUGCAAAUCAUCUUCAACGAUUCAAGGUCGGGUUAA